UCUACACGCGUUUGACUCGGGCUGCAGAGAGCGAGGGCGCCGACGACCAUGGCGAGCUGGCCAAGGCGCAGGCCUUGCCUGUGCACCAUUCCUUCGCGUGCUGUGCAGCAAGCUCCCGCGACCGCCCAUGUGCCCCUCCUCGCGGCGCGCAGGGAGCGCCGGCAGCGCCCCGUCUGCCCCUCCCUCGUGUGGCGCAGGGAACGUCGCCGCCGGUCCGUGCGCCCCUCCCAGUUCCCCGCAAUUGAGGGCGUCCAGUAGCGCACAGAGCUCUGUGGUCGGGAAGGCCGGCGCGUCCUCGGUCGACUCCGGCGGCACGUAGCUGAGGCAAGGGGAGGGCCCCGCAGCGCGGCCGCGGCAGCGAGGGGCGGUGGAGCGGAGAGCGCGCCGGCGGCGAGAAGCCGCACGUGCCAUCCCCCGUGGAGGUGAGGCCGAGGCCUGCUGGGAUUAUACAUGGUCCAUCUAUUGGAUCAUGGGUAAAAUUUUUCUUUAACCAUGAUUGCUCGCAGUUUAAAUGUGGUUGUUUAUGAAGUGAAUCUCCCUCGAUUCUAAGAGCUCAACUUUCAUUAUGCCAAAAAAAGAAAAUGUUCACCAGUAGCUCAAUAUAUAAUUUCACUCUCAAAUA